rnacentral:lncRNA from 1 species
AGACGGGUGCCUGAGGUCCGUCUGCCUGCCUGGAGAGCAGCCAGUCUCAGGAUGACCUGCCCCUCCAAGCACAGAGAGGCACAAUUUUCCUGUAGCCACAAGGCCAUGAGGUCCCCAGCGCUCACUCCUGGGACCAGCUGUGUGCUGGCCUGCUGCAUGGUCUCUCUGUCCCGCUGGCCAUCAGUAUUGGACUGGUUUGUUAAUUUGUCUAUGUCAGCUCAACAAUAGUAUUUAAUAUGAUUUGUGUUUCCUUAUUUAUUUAGCCAAUCUGUUUUGCUUUGCCCCUCCUCCUGUGGUGAUUUCCACAUCUCUGACUGUUACGGACCUCCUACCUACCUCUCUGCAUCUUCUGUCUCCUUGUUUCCUGACGGGGUUUUUACAGUGUUGCGUCUAAUGUAACUUAGACAAUAAAGGGUUUGGUUGUCUACACUGCAGCCGCUCACUCUGUGUGUCCCCUGCCCUCUCCAGCUGCCCUCUUCUGACUCCUGCCUCGCUCUCUGGCUCACACCAGCCCAGCCCCCACCAUCCCCUGCUUCACUGUGUGACGUGUCUUCUCUUACGCUUUUCCUCCUUUCAAGUACACAUUACACAGAGUUUCUCAAAUACUUCAGGUGAUUCACUCAUUCUUAAUUCCCAGAAUGAAGGUUUAACUUCACGAACAAUAAAUACAUUGUGGACUCUUCUCCUCUGGGGAGUUGCUCACUGCUCCUUUCCACACUUCUGCUGGUUCUUGAAGUCUAUGCAGUCUUAGGUGGAGACAGUUUAGCCUCUCCCGCGUAGUACAAUUUCCAAGUCAAGUGGACUUUGCCUUUUUGGUUCUAAAAAGUAUUAGAUAUUUUAAAAAGUUUCUCCAAUAUUUGCUUAUUUAUUUUUUUAAGUCCAGGAAGACACUGGUUUCUGGAAGUAAGGUGUUCCAGGCGGCACAAGGCAACUCUUUCAACGUAAAAGAGCUCUGCUGUCCCAGCGGGCUGUAGGGAUGCCCCUUCCCCUUGGCUGCUGUGUGCACACCACGGCUUCUCUGCAGCUGGGACUGGAGUCGCUCUCCAUUUAUGCUCCACAGGUGACCAGUUCCACCGUGGGCAUCACAGGGCUGGCAGCAGUGACCUUUUCACCUCCUGGGAACCAGUCGAGUUGACACCUGUCUGGGUGGAUGAGGGUGUCUUCCAGGUCAAACAGUGCCUGCAGUCCCCCAGGAAGGACCUGUAAGAUGAGACACCUGCCUGUCAGCACCCGAAGAACGAGUUUUGUUGUUUUAAUGCUUAUAAAUCAGGCAACUUCAAAUUGCAACUUUUGUUCACUGAAAAAAAAAAAAACCAAGCAUGCCCCACAGACAAGGUUUUCCGGUUACACGUUUUUGACACUAAUGAUUAACACACACUGCAGAGCCCUGGGACAUGCCUGAGUGACGUGGCCGCCAAGCAACAUGUCCCUUUUUCACCGACUCCACUAAGCAUUCGUUGAGGUGGGAAGAUGCAGAAGCCCAUAGAGUUUGUAUUUCUUUUUAAAAACACAAUUUAUAAUGCUAUAUUUUGUACUCUUUAUAUUAGAAUUUGUAACUAGAUUGAUGUAUUUAACUAUUUCUGAGAAAAAUAAUUCAAUGUUACAGCUGUGUGAUUAAAAAGUAUUUAGAUAAAAC